rnacentral:rRNA from 1 species
GACGAACGCUGGCGGCGUACUUAACACAUGCAAGUCGAACGGUAAGGCCCUUCGGGGUACACGAGUGGCGAACGGGUGAGUGACACGUGGGUGAUCUGCCCUGCACUUCGGGAUAAGCCUGGGAGACUGGGUCUAAUACCGGAUAGGACCACUGCCUGCAUGGGUGGUGGUGGAAAGCUUUUGCGGUGUGGGAUGGGCCCGCGGCCUAUCAGCUUGUUGGUGGGGUGAUGGCCUACCAAGGCGACGACGGGUAGCCGGCCUGAGAGGGUGACCGGCCACACUGGGACUGAGAUACGGCCCAGACUCCUACGGGAGGCAGCAGUGGGGAAUAUUGCACAAUGGGCGCAAGCCUGAUGCAGCGACGCCGCGUGAGGGAUGACGGCCUUCGGGUUGUAAACCUCUUUCAGCACCGACGAAGCGCAAGUGACGGUAGGUGCAGAAGAAGGACCGGCCAACUACGUGCCAGCCGCCGCAGUAA